rnacentral:rRNA from 1 species
GAUGAUCGCUGGCGGCGUGCCUAAUACAUGCAAGCCGAGCGAACAGAUGAGGAGCUUGCUCCUCUGACGUUAGCGGCGGACGGGUGAGUAACACGUGGAUAACCUACCUAUAAGACUGGGAUAACUUCGGGAAACCGGAGCUAAUACCGGAUAAUAUAUUGAACCGCAUGGUUCAAUAGUGAAAGACGGUUUUGCUGUCACUUAUAGAUGGAUCCGCGCCGCAUUAGCUAGUUGGUAAGGUAACGGCUUACCAAGGCAACGAUGCGUAGCCGACCUGAGAGGGUAAUCGGCCACACUGGAACUGAGACACGGUCCAGACUCCUACGGGAGGCAGCAGUAGGGAAUCUUCCGCAAUGGGCGAAAGCCUGACGGAGCAACGCCGCGUGAGUGAUGAAGGUCUUCGGAUCGUAAAACUCUGUUAUUAGGGAAGAACAAAUGUGUAAGUAACUAUGCACGUCUUGACGGUACCUAAUCAGAAAGCCACGGCUAACUACGUG